UUUAGUUCAGUUGAGGCUCUGUCGUCGUUGAGUGCGCACCGAUUCCGCUUGUAACGCGCAAGAUCGGCGACUAGAAAAGAAAAAAAAAACUGUUUUACAUUGCUCCUACGCGAAUGUGCAAAGCAGAACAGUGCAAAAAGUGGACAAGACAAAUUAAUCAGGAAGUGUGGCGUUAAUACUGCAGCAUUUGCAUAAAUAAGCAGGAAAAAGUAGAAUAUAGCUAACAUGCUGUCGAAGGGAGUGUUCGCUCAGACAACAUGCAAAUUGAUCCGCUGCAGCUCGACGCUGCACUCGAAGGCAGCGCCCGCAGUCAUGACCCAGCUGCAGAGCGAGAUGCCCCAAUGUGAUCAUCGUCCGGCUGCAUACAAUGGGCCCAGCUACGAGCGCAUAUUGGAGACACGCAAGAACCACCUGACGCCCAACUUGUUGGCGCACUUCAAGAAGCCGCUGGUCAUCCAUGCCGGGCACAUGCAGUGGCUGUACGAUCACGAGGGUCGUCGCUAUCUGGACAUGUUCGGCGGCAUCGUGACCGUCUCUGUGGGUCAUUGUCAUCCCAAAGUAAACCAGGCGCUGAGCGAGCAAAUGUCGAAGCUCUGGCACACGACCAACAUCUAUAUGCAUCCCAAGAUUCAUGAGUAUGCAGAGCGGCUGACAGCCAAGUUUCCGGGCAAACUGAAGGCCGUGUGCUUUGUCAACUCCGGCUCGGAGGCGAACGACUUGGCCAUGCUGUUGGCCCGUCUACACACGGGCAAUCAGGACAUCUUGACCUUCCGCAAUGCCUACCAUGGCAUGUCGCCCUAUACGAUGGGCUUGACGGCUCACUCAACUUGGCGCUACCCGCUGCCGGGCGUCAACAAUGGCAUACUGCAUGUCAUGAAUCCUGAUCCCUAUCAGGGCAUCUGGGGCGGCUCUGCCUGCCGAGACUCACCUGUGCAGACCACACGCAGCUGCAGCUGCCCGCCAAAUGACUGCCAAGCGGGUGUCAACUACUACAACGAGCUGGAGCAGACCUUCAAGUACUCGCUGCCGCGCGGCAAGGUGGCUGCCAUGUUUGCCGAGUCGAUUCAGGGUGUCGGCGGCACCGUUCAGUUCCCCAAGGGCUAUCUGAAGCGGGCGGCCGAACUGGUGCGUGCCAAUGGCGGCCUGUUCGUGGCGGAUGAGGUGCAAACGGGCUUCGGCCGCACCGGCGAUCACUUCUGGGGCUUCGAGUCGCAUGACUACACGCCCGACAUUGUCACCAUGGCCAAGGGCAUUGGCAAUGGCUUUCCGCUGGCUGCAGUGGUUACCACGCCAGAGAUUGCCGCCUCCCUAGGCAUGGCUCUGCACUUCAAUACCUAUGGCGGCAAUCCCAUGGCCAGCGCCGUGGGCAUCUCCGUGCUGGACGUGAUCGAAGAGGAGCAACUGCAGCGCAACUCCCUGGAGGUGGGCACCUACUUCCUCAAGUGCCUCGAAGAGCUGCAGCAGCGCUACGAGCUGAUCGGCGAUGUGCGCGGCAAGGGCUUGAUGAUCGGCGUGGAGCUCGUCAGCGAUCGGGAGACGCGUGCUCCACUCGCUGCGCCACACGUGCUCGACAUCUGGGAGAUGUGCAAGGAUAUGGGCGUCCUCUUUGGCCGUGGUGGGCUGCAUGGCAAUGUUCUACGCAUUAAGCCGCCCAUGUGCAUUAAUCGCGCCGAUGUCAAGUUUGCUGUGGAUGUGCUGGGUCAAGCUAUAGCGGAUUCAUUGGCCAGGCAAAAUUAGUUAACGAAAUUCCCAAUUCAAUUGGCAAUUGGCUAGCAGAGAAGACUUCAGCUGCCCCCAGAAUGCAUUUAUAGAAUAGUUCUUAACUGAAAUUCCUUUACGUAAUAAAGAAAAAGUAAUCCAAAUUUCUCAAUAUACAUUUUACAUAUCAUAUCUAUAAAAUAUGCACUCUAAUCUAAUAUCCAAGCACUCUUUGGGUUUCUCCUCUAACUCAUGCUCAUACGCAAGUUUCCUAACUACAAGUGCUCAGCUUUAGGCCGCCGCUUUGCAUCAGCUACGAGGAUGUGGAGCUUACGUUAAGUAUUUUGGAAGCGGUUUUCGUGG